UGUUAGCUCAGUGGUAGAGCGCGAGUCUUAUGAGCUCGAGGCCCCGGGUUCGAAACCCG
rnacentral:tRNA from 1 species